rnacentral:rRNA from 1 species
UAGAGUUUGAUCCUGGCUCAGCUUGAACGCUGGCGGCAUGCCUUACACAUGCAAGUCGGACGGCAGCGCGGGCUUCGGCCUGGCGGCGAGUGGCGAACGCGNNNNUNAUACAUCGGAACAUGUCCAGUAGUGGGGGAUAGCCCGGCGAAAGCCGGAUUAAUACCGCAUACGAUCUGUGGNNNNNAGCGGGGGAUCGCAAGACCUCGCGCUAUUGGGGUGGCCGAUGGCGGAUUAGCUAGUUGGUGGGGUAAAGGCCUACCAAGGCGACGAUCCGUAGCUGGUCUGAGAGGACGACCAGCCACACUGGGACUGAGACACGGCCCAGACUCCUACGGGAGGCAGCAGUGGGGAAUUUUGGACAAUGGGCGCAAGCCUGAUCCAGCAAUGCCGCGUGUGUGAAGAAGGCCUUCGGGUUGUAAAGCACUUUUGUCCGGAAAGAAAUCCUUUUCGAUAAUACCGAGAGGGGAUGACGGUACCGGAAGAAUAAGCACCGGCUAACUACGUGCCAGCAGCCGCGGUAAUACGUAGGGUGCGAGCGUUAAUCGGAAUUACUGGGCGUAAAGCGUGCGCAGGCGGUGAUGCAAGACCGAUGUGAAAUCCCCGGGCUUAACCUGGGAACUGCAUUGGUGACUGCAUCGCUAGAGUAUGGCAGAGGGGGGUAGAAUUCCACGUGUAGCAGUGAAAUGCGUAGAGAUGUGGAGGAAUACCGAUGGCGAAGGCAGCCCCCUGGGUCAAUACUGACGCUCAUGCAC